CGGGGCGUGGCGCAGUUUGGCUAGCGCGCCUGCCUUGGGAGCAGGAGGCCGGAGGUUCAAAUCCUCUCGCCCCGACCA
rnacentral:tRNA from 3 species